rnacentral:rRNA from 1 species
UACGGAGGAUCCAAGCGUUAUCCGGAAUCAUUGGGUUUAAAGGGUCCGUAGGCGGUUUUGUAAGUCAGUGGUGAAAGCCCAUCGCUCAACGGUGGAACGGCCAUUGAUACUGCAAGACUUGAAUUAUUGGGAAGUAACUAGAAUAUGUAGUGUAGCGGUGAAAUGCUUAGAGAUUACAUGGAAUACCAAUUGCGAAGGCAGGUUACUACCAAUGGAUUGACGCUGAUGGACGAAAGCGUGGGUAGCGAACAGG